rnacentral:rRNA from 1 species
GACGAACGCUGGCGGCGUGCCUAAUACAUGCAAGUCGAACGAGAAUUUUUACACCGAGUGCUUGCACUCACCGUAAGGAAUUCGAGUGGCGGACGGGUGAGUAACACGUGGGUAACCUGCCCAAAGAAGGGAUAACAUUUGGAAACAAUGCUAAUACCGUAUAACCAUGAUGACCGCAUGGUCAUUAUGUAAAAGAUGGUUUUGCUAUCGCUUUUUGGAUGGACCCGCGGCGUAUUAACUAGUUGGUAGGUAACGGCCUACCAAGGUGAUGAUACGUAGCCGAGUUGAGAGACUGAUCGGCCACAAUGGGACUGAGACACGGCCCAUACACCUACGGGAGGCAG